rnacentral:rRNA from 1 species
UUCGGAGGGUGCAAGCGUUAUCCGGAUUUAUUGGGUUUAAAGGGUCCGUAGGUGGGACGUUAAGUCAGUGGUGAAAGCCUGCAGCUCAACUGUAGAAUUGCCAUUGAUACUGACAUCCUUGAGUACAAUUGAAGUUGGCGGAAUGUGUGGUGUAGCGGUGAAAUGCUUAGAUAUCACACAGAACACCGAUAGCGAAGGCAGCUAACUAAGUUGUUACUGACACUGAGGGACGAAAGCGUGGGGAGCAAACAGG